rnacentral:rRNA from 2 species
UAGGAAUCUGCCUGGUAGUGGGGGACAACGUUUCGAAAGGAACGCUAAUACCGCAUACGUCCUACGGGAGAAAGCAGGGGACCUUCGGGCCUUGCGCUAUCAGAUGAGCCUAGGUCGGAUUAGCUAGUUGGUGAGGUAAUGGCUCACCAAGGCGACGAUCCGUAACUGGUCUGAGAGGAUGAUCAGUCACACUGGAACUGAGACACGGUCCAGACUCCUACGGGAGGCAGCAGUGGGGAAUAUUGGACAAUGGGCGAAAGCCUGAUCCAGCCAUGCCGCGUGUGUGAAGAAGGUCUUCGGAUUGUAAAGCACUUUAAGUUGGGAGGAAGGGUUGUAGAUUAAUACUCUGCAAUUUUGACGUUACCGACAGAAUAAGCACCGGCUAACUCUGUGCCAGCAGCCGCGGUAAUACAGAGGGUGCAAGCGUUAAUCGGAAUUACUGGGCGUAAAGCGCGCGUAGGUGGUUUGUUAAGUUGGAUGUGAAAGCCCCGGGCUCAACCUGGGAACUGCAUCCAAAACUGGCAAGCUAGAGUACGGUAGAGGGUGGUGGAAUUUCCUGUGUAGCGGUGAAAUGCGUAGAUAUAGGAAGGAACACCAGUGGCGAAGGCGACCACCUGGACUGAUACUGACACUGAGGUGCGAAAGCGUGGGGAGCAAACAGGAUUAGAUACCCUGGUAGUCCACGCCGUAAACGAUGUCAACUAGCCGUUGGAAUCCUUGAGAUUUUAGUGGCGCAGCUAACGCAU